AGAGUUUGAUCCUGGCUCAGAACGAACGCUGGCGGCGUGCCUAACACAUGCAAGUCGAACGGAUUUGAGAAGCUUGCUUCUCAAGUUAGUGGCGCACGGGUGAGUAACGCGUAGAUAAUCUGCCUGAUGAUCUGGGAUAACACUUCGAAAGGGGUGCUAAUACCGGAUAAGCCCACGGAGUCUUUGGACUUUGCGGGAAAAGGGGGGGACCUUCGGGCCUUCUGUCAUCAGAUGACUCUGCGUACCAUUAGCUAGUUGGUAGGGUAAAGGCCUACCAAGGCUACGAUGGUUAGCUGGUCUGAGAGGAUGAUCAGCCACACUGGAACCGACACCCGGUCCAAACUCCUACGGGAGGCACCAAUGGGGAAUUUUGCGCAAUGGGCGAAAGCCUGACGCAGAACGCCGCGUGAGUGAUGAAUGCUUUCGGGUCGUAAAGCUCUGUCUAGGGGAAAGAAGUGUAUUGUGGCUAAUAUCCAUGAUACUUGACGGUACUCCCUAUGGAAGCACCGGCUAACUCAGCGCCAGCAGCC
rnacentral:rRNA from 1 species